UACAGAGGGGGCAAGCGUUGUUCGGAAUUACUGGGCGUAAAGGGCGCGUAGGCGGCCUGUUAAGUCGAACGUGAAAUCCCCGGGCUCAACCCGGGAACUGCGUCCGAUACUGGCAGGCUUGAAUCCGGGAGAGGGAUGCGGAAUUCCAGGUGUAGCGGUGAAAUGCGUAGAUAUCUGGAGGAACACCGGUGGCGAAGGCGGCAUCCCUGGACCGGCA
rnacentral:rRNA from 1 species